CCCAGGAAGCAAUAUUGCCACCAAGAGAAUUGGUGCUCAAGUCUUUGACAAGCCCUCUCACCCUAACUCUCCCACUGUUUAUGACUGGUAUGUUACAUGACAGCUCUCUCUCUCUCUCUCUCUCACACACACACACAUAUAUAUCUGAAGUUUUUAAGUUUUUUUUUUAAUUUACACCGUCAGUUUGGAGUAUUAACUCUCUCAUAUUUUUAAUGGCAGGCUCUACAAUGGGAACACCAGAUCUAAGCAUCACGAGAAGUGCUGAGAGUUUUUGGGUGGCAACAAGUUGAAACCUAUGUAAAUAGUGUUUUUUCCUGCUAGUUGCUUCGCUAAUGAAGCAUGGAUCACUGGACUUUUAUCUUUAUUUCAUAUUAUAUGAAUUUCUGUUGGGUAUUAAGCAACUACUGUAGUAUGUUUUAGUUAGAUUCUGCAAGCUAACUUGAGCUUUAAGGUCCAUCCAAAUGCUGCUGCUGCUACUAUUAUGUUUGUGAUAGACCCCUGUUUUGAUGUUUGUUUUGUGUAUUAACGAUUUGUUAUAAAUAUUGUGAUGUUUUUGU
rnacentral:lncRNA from 1 species